GUCAAAGCAAACAAACCAGGGCAGAAAAAAUUCCCCCCUAACCUCUUUCACUUACAGGAAUCUAAGUGUGUCUUGCAACAACAGUAGGUUGGAGUGUGUGAUGUUACUACAUGGAAUAGGCUGAUGCCAUACGGAAGAGGAAUGGAGGGAAAAGAUUACAAGAAGAAAACAAUAAAAAACAAAAGUAAAGUCUCCAGGAGAGCGCCUAGGGUGUGUGUCUCCCCACUGUGAUAGUCCAUCCUGUGCGGACUACAAUAUGGCUGCCAGUCAAUGCCAAAAGCAGAGCCCAUGAAGAUUUAAAGAUGAAGUACACAAGAGUCAAAACACUCACUUAAUCGCAUACCCAUCAUACUAUUUAGCACAAAAAAAUGAACAGCAGCAGAAGCUAUCACACUACAAGCUCACUAAUAAUAGCAUCACACCCUGCACACAAUACACCCUGCUGUCUUUAAUUCUUAUGCAGAAUGGAUGGCUGAAAUUUGUAUUUUGCUG